rnacentral:rRNA from 1 species
GUAGGCAGCGAGCGUUGUUCGGAGUUACUGGGCGUAAAGGGUGUGUAGGCGGUUCUUUAAGUUUAGUGUGAAAUCUCCCGGCUCANCCGGGAGGGUGCGCUGAAUACUGAGGGACUAGAGUACGGGAGAGGAAAGUGGAAUUCCUGGUGUAGCGGUGAAAUGCGUAGAUAUCAGGAGGAACACCGGUGGUGUAGACGGCUUUCUGGACCGUAACUGACGCUGAGACACGAAAGCGUGGGUAGCAAACAGGAUUAGAUACCCUGGUAGUCCACGCCCUAAACGAUGCAUAUUUGGUGUGGGUCAUUCAGUUGAUCCGUGCCGGAGCUAACGCGUUAAAUAUGCCGCCUGGGGAGUACAGUCGCAAGGCUG